GUAGUAUUUGCAUAGUAUUUUAAUUAGUAGGACAAAACAUGCUAGUUGAUGAGAACUCUUCAACAUUUGUAAAAUAAGGACUUGUAACUUCCUCUCCAAGAUGACAUUACUCCAGAAACCCCUAAAGGUAUGUCAUAUGUGUAUUUGCUUCAUAUGCAUAGAAUGAGCUUCAACAACCUCCCUUGUAUGUUAUGACAAAGUCAAUGGUAUAUAAAUGACUUAAAUAUGAAUAUGUUUCUAUAAAUUAUAUGUCUUUGUAGUUUGACCUGCUACUGGUUCCAUAUUCCAUCUACAUAAAAAUGUAGCCCAACAUGGGGAGACUCUUCCUGUUGAGCAAAUGAUAACCUGUUUAUAUUUAUAUCCCUAUCCCACCACUGAGCCCUUGAUCCAAGAGCUAAUUCCCUGAAUCGUCCAAAUCCAAAUCCACGAUGGAGUGGGAGUGAACAUAUUUAGAUGCAGCCAGACAGACAGUUUCAAUUUUGAGGCAAACAGACAGAAAAUGGGGCGUCGUAAGGUCUGGUUGGAGAGAGGCUGGAGAAACGUCUCCUGCCCACGGUGUGUGCGAGAGGUCAAGUUGAGUGGCCCCAGGGUCACCCGUGUGCCACUUGUGUGUUUCCCGGUAGCCUCGCCUGGAGCGGCGGUCGGGCGCGGCUGACGUCACCCACCCAGCCUCCGUAAUUGAAAGAGACGUUAAUCCAACUCCUCCCCCAAAGCCUGGCUAAGGGUGGGAGGGUACGAUGUGGGGAGCGACGGACAGAGAGAGAAAGAGUGGGAGCCGGAGUGGAUGGCAGUCGGUUCAUCGCAGACAAAGCGAGGCUGGAGCAGGCUUUCUAAUGGGGCUUGCACCUCCUGUGUCCUGUCCCUGGAUAAGGGCCCCUCCACCCGAGCCUCAACCUGGAGGCCAGCGGCCUGCCUGGGGGAUCUGAGGAGGGGGGAAGGUUUAGGACCUGCAGCCCUCCUCCUGCACCUCCUCUUGAUUUAGCCAUACUUGUUGCGGAGGUACCCGACUUCACCAAUGUUGAGCUGUGUUCGGGUGAAGAGCAUUUCUACAUGCCCUCGAUAGAAGGGUAAGACAUGAUUGCAUUAUCUCUCUCUCUCUCUCUCUCUCUCUCUCUCUCUCUCUGAAAGAAAGUGUGCUAAUGGGUGCAUUUGCUGGUCAUUUCCUUUCCUUUCCACCCAGGCCCACUGUUGUUACUGGUACUAUAACUAUUCUCUCUGUACUUCAACCGGUCUCAACCAGAGGAAGAAUCUAUAGGGGGAGUACACUCUUGAUUCAUGCAGAUGUCCCCAGUAAAGAAACACAGCCAUAGUUUGGUCAUCUAAUACAGUGAAGCGACAGGUAUGUGUGAGUGUGUGAAUUGACCUGUGUGAGUAAGUGGAAGGCUUAAGGUCACUGCAGCUCUGAUACUGCCCGUCUCAUAAGAUCCAAAACGCCAUUACGAGGCUACCAUGUGCAGCACAUGAUAUUUUUUGUCAAACUCCACGGGCUUACUGACAGCUCUUUUAGGUGGUUUAGUUCUGUGAAGUAAAAAGUCAGCAUCACAUCAUUUAUUGCAUAAUAUUGAGAAAUAAAAACCACAA
ensembl:lncRNA